AGUCUGGUGCCAGCAGCCGCGGUAAUUCCAGCUCCAAUAGCGUAUAUUAAAGUUGUUGCAGUUAAAAAGCUCGUAGUUGGAUCUGAGGACUAGAGAUAAUGGUGCGAUAACCUCGUUACUGUUAUUUCUGCCUAAAAAGACAGUGCUAGGCAUUGGUGCUCUUAAUUGAGUGCUUUUGCUGCCUGUCAAGUUUACUUUGAAAAAAUUAGAGUGCUCAAAGCAGGCGCUUCGCCUGAAUAGUGGUGCAUGGAAUAAUGGAAUAAGAUCUUCGGAUCUAUUUUGUUGGUUUUCGGAAGCCGAGGUAAUGAUUAAGAGAGACAGACGGGGGCAUUCGUAUUGUGGUGUUAGAGGUGAAAUUCUUGGAUCGCCGCAAGACGAACAACUGCGAAAGCAUUUGCCAAGCAUGUUUUCAUUAAUCAAGAACGAAAGUCAGAGGUUCGAAGACGAUCAGAUACCGUCCUAGUUCUGACCAUAAACGAUGCCAGCUGGCGAUCCGCGGUGGUUGUUAUUUUCGACCCCGCGGGCAGCCUCCGGGAAACCAAAGCCUUUGGGUUCCGGGGGAAGUAUGAUUGCAAAGUCGAAACUUAAAGGAAUUGACGGAAGGGCACCACCAGGAGUGGAGCCUGCGGCUUAAUUUGACUCAACACGGGAAUACUCACCCGGCCCGGACACUGUUAGGAUUGACAGAUUGAAAGCUCUUUCUCGAUUCGGUGGGUGGUGGUGCAUGGCCGUUCUUAGUUGGUGGAGCGAUUUGUCUGGUUAAUUCCGAUAACGAACGAGACUCUAGCCUGCUAAAUAGUCGGGUCGUAUAAUUUAGCGACUUUAUGACUUCUUAGAGGGACAAGCGGCAACUAGUCGCACGAGAUUGAGCAAUAACAGGUCUGUGAUGCCCUUAGAUGUUCGGGGCCGCACGCGCGCUACACUGAAGGGAACAACGAGUAGUUUUCCUGGCCCGAAUGGGUCGGGUAACCUGUUGAAUACCCUUCGUGACAGGGAUCGGGGCUUGCAAUUAUUCCCCGUGAACGAGGAACUCCCAGUAAGCGCAAGUCAUAAGCUUGCGUUGAUUACGUCCCUGCCCUUUGUACACACCGCCCGUCGCUACUACCGAUUGAAUGUUCUGGUGAAAUCAUCAGAGUGGUGCCGAUGGGGUGGUCUCCACUCCAUUGGAAACU
rnacentral:rRNA from 1 species